GCAGAUUAUGGUGUUUCCGAUGAUAUGAGCCAUUAUUAAACAGACAAUACCUGCGACUCCCAAUUUGAAUGCUUCACUUUCAGGCAGGAAGCAGAAUCUACCGUUCAACUUCAGCCAUACAUGAUGCAAAGGAGGCGAGGGUGAGGACGGCGACAAUGGAAAAGCUUAUCACGAAACUGGAAGGAGGCUUUUCCAUGGCGGCCAGAAGAUCGAAGAAGCAGUGGGAGUUUAAAUCACGGGACAAGACCCUUGGAGGAUGAAGAUGCAAGUUUUUACCAAUAUUGGGGUUUCUCAAGCCGCUUCUUUUCAACAAUUGAGGAGUACAGAG